UAUAAAAUAUUAUAACCGCAGGCCAUCAACAGCAGAAUCCACUAUGCGACAGUCGCUCCAGAGUGGAAAAUAAAAGACGAGGAGCGGAAACGCGCUCGUAAAGAAAAAUUGAGCAAGAGGAUGAUCCCUUUGCCAAACGUGAACAAACUCAUGAAAUCCGAAGAUUAUGAGUCUUCUCUUAAGCAAAGUCUUAGAAAUCGGGUUUUAGACAACACCCGGUUGAUGAAAAUGAGACCAAAAGAAGUAGAAUAUUUUGCUAAUCGCUUGGUAACUUUUUAUACGGCUGAUUUGAUUCCACCAGUUAAACAGGUCCAGGAUGAGUACAUCCUGCAACGAUUGACCGGGUUAAGGUAUAGGAAUAUAAUGUUUCCUAGUUAUGUAGUAAGCUGAAAACCUGAAUUUUUUUUCCUAGUUAAGGGAUAUUAGUUGUUAAUUAUCGUACUUAUUAGUAUCGGGCAAGUUCUGUGUUAACACUCAAGCACUUUCGUGUUCAUUGUUAGUUCUAUGAAUAUGAUUUAUUAUCAUUAUCUUAUAAAACCGACACUUUUAAGAAAAUAAUACACUUUUUUUUCUUCCAAAACUGCAAUCAACUACAUUUUAUAAUUUCAUGCAUUUGAACACAAUCAAAUGGCUAUUUUGAGCCAUUUAAGAUGUUUCCUAUUUUACAAUUUUUUUUAGUUUGACCCGUUAGAGUUAUAACAUUUACCCAAAUCGACCAUUUAUCUAUUAAGGGGUUGAGUUUUCCACAUCUAAGACCAAAUGGGAAUUUUUAGAAUGUAUAGCAAAGAUGUUCAUUGUCUUCGGGUAAUCUAUUUUCAUAUGAUGGUAGAAUAACUGAUUAUCCUUAAAAUCAAAAUGUAUCUAAAUAUUCCAAAGAUGUGGUUGUGCUUACUUGAUUCAUGUCCCGUUGGUAAACACCAAAGCGACCGCAGGUUUCUUAGUAAUGUCAGGGAACUUAUCUAAAAGCUUGGGUUCGAUCACGAGCCAAAAUUCCUGCUCCAUGUUCUUCUCUUUGAAAAGACGUGCCCUUUCGAAAAACUGUUCUUGAAAGUGUUCUUCAUCAUCCAACAUAAUUUUUGCAUUUGCAACCACAAAAUGGUGACAAAUACAUCCUCAGCUCAAGCAAGGAGAGCCAAAGACAUACAAGGCAUUCCAUGGGAACGAUUAAAUAUAAUAAGAGAUAGUUACAGGCAAACACGGCUGGAGUAGUACAGAAACUAUGAAAACAUCCCGUUAUCGGGUGAUAAAGUUGAUAGGGAAUGUAAACAGAAGCAGAAGGGUGGCAACUACUAUGAGUUUUUCCACAAUACAAGAUUGGUGAAGCCUACAAUCCUCCACUUUCAGCUAAGGAACCUUGUUUGGGCUACCUCAAACCAUGAUGUAUAUCUGAUGUCUAAUUACUCACUCAUGCAUUGGUCAUCGUUAUAUCCUUAAUUUUUCCGGGCAUGUAGCACCUACAGAGAAACAUACUGGGAGUUUGCUCGAAGGUUUUACACAAACUCAGAUAAGGUCCAUUAUAAAUGUCGAACUACUGCUUCAGGAGAGCUGCACGGAUGACUCGGGUAGUCUUGUUGUAUACUCAGUGGUCGAUGUGGAAGCUGUCAAACUAACUUGUGAAUUACUAUCGAUAUGUAAUUUUUGUUGUUAAUUAACUUGUGACUUAUCGUUAAUUAGUACUUGAAUUAA